UGGAUGGUAAUCUUAUACCCUAAAGUAAUCAUCGACACCGUUGUCUGGAUCAAAAUGUUCAACGCACUUUGCGGCAGGGACGCUAAGGUUGGUCCCUGUGAAGGCGAGAUUAAACUGGCAUUACUGUAGACUGAACAGCUAUCAUCACUCUUGUGGUUGGAGCAGAGAGGAGGCUGAAGAAUACUGGAACAUUCUACGUAGUCCGCCCUUUUGGACAGAUGAGCCGUGAACGUGUCGUGCAUCAGCAGCUGAGAAGAGAGUGGGGCAGAAUAUCUUGUAGGGACUAAACUACAUCUCUCCAAUGUCUGUUUCAGUGAAAUAUGAACUUGCUGUUGCCUUCAUCUCUCAGUGGAGGUUGAGGAGCUGACUUCAUUCCAAAGGUCUUGGGGGCAGUUCUUAAAGGAGUAGGAAUUGGUACACUGGUGUAACAACUCUGGUGGUGCUGAUCCAAGCUUCAAUAAUUCCUCAAGAUCUGACUGAGUGCUUUGCUUUCUUAUUAGCUGUUUGAACUUCUUGGAAGAGACAAGCAUUUUACACUCAAGGAUGGAAUUGCAAGGAAUGUUCCUUGGUGUUUUGGUGCUUAAGAAAUAUAAAGAUCAGAAGCAAGUACUAUCACAUCCAGAAGCAUAAAUAGAAAAUAAACUGCAUGGAUAUUAUUAAUACAGGAAAAUAUUAUGAAAGGGGGGUUGAAAGUCUGUAUCAAGGGUGGCCCAUGGGCCUUAUUGAUGAGGCCAGCUGGAAAAAAAUGGUUGUGGUGUGAGGUUUGGUCCUAAAAGACCACAGUAUACUGCCUUGGGAGUGUUUUUAAAGUUUGUGUCUGGGGUGGAUUCAGGGGGAGUUAUCGUAAUCAGUAAAGUGGGGCUUUUGUCUCCGGGGAAAUAAAGUCCAAAGUCUCUCUGCACUGUGUUUAAUGACCCCAGAUAUUAAACAACUUCUCUCCUGUUUCACUAGACCACUGCUCCACAGCACAAUGUGACAAAUGGACUCUCUUUAAUUAGUCCUACUUCAAUCUCUUGGGAUAUUUCACUGUUCUGGUUUAUAUCUGCAUGAUGUAUCGUAUCAUAUUAAUCCGCAUUACUUCUAUAGGUACAUUGUUUCUGCUGAUUUGGCUGUGGUUGCCUUUCUUUUCUUGUCUUUUUGUAUGGAUGAAUGGACUUUCACUCUAUAUGACUGUGUCUCUUUUCUGACAGAAGAAGUCAUCAAGCUUUGCAGGAUCAAUAAUGCUAUUCUGAUCUCUGACAGUCUAGACAAGUGUGUCUGUAUCAGAUAGUGGACUUGAUUUGUUACCCCACUUUGCUCCUGGUGCUAAGAGCAUCAUUUUCACUUUCAUAAGGGUUCAUGUAUAAAGUCUGUCAGCGAGUCAAUAAACCACAGUAAAUAUCUGAAAAUCUGAAUGCAUGGCAUGUUUUGAAUAUACAGGUAAAAAGAUGCAGGCUCCAGGUUUUUAUUUUUAAGACAAGGGCAGAAAUCACACCAACACUUCAGCCAAGCAAAGACAUUUUGGGUAAUGUUACACUGUUUAAAACAUGUUCACCAUGUCCCUGUCACUCCUGUAACAGUAAUGCUAAGUGGUUAUAUUAUGAAGACCUGAAAUAAAUGUAUUGAUUUGAAAUGAAUGAAUCAAAAGGAUGCCGAAAUAGCUACAUCAUGAUGCCGAUUUUGUCAGGGCCGAGCCAAAAGGCUGUCGAACAACUUUAGAAAACUGAGUUUGGAUCGAUCAGGACUCUUCCAACUUAAAUCAUAGUGAAGUAAAGCUGGAAUCAAGUCAUGGCUACAAAUGUUCAGCUCCUGGCUGGUAGUCUCUUUCUUGCUGGCUUUUCUCUUAAGUAAUCUCCUUCUUUUGUGUGGUCUCUAUAAAUAUGAAGUAUCUUAGAUCUCUGAGUCCCCACAGACGGAUACAACAACAGUGGUUACACUUCUGCUUCAGCAGACUGAGAGAGAGAGGGAAGAUGAAUCCCCAAGAGUUUAAAGAAUAAACGCCUCCCGCCUGUAAAUGGCUCCAGAUCAGGGCAGAAUCCAACAUGACUCUGGCUCUGACCCUUUCCAAGAGCUGCAGCUGUCUGCUGGCUAACAUGUAUUUGGCUCUGUGGCUGCUAGAUGUUAGACUCUCCUCACCAGCUUGUGUCUAACUUUAUUUGGCAGGUAGUGUGCAGUGGGUUUAUCUUCACUCUUUAACACAGUGUGUGAAGCAUACAUUUAAUUUGUUUGCCACGAUGACUGACUGAUCCAUCAUUAAUCACUCGUAAAACAUACCGAUUAGUGAAGCUUUAAGAGAUGUCGGACACUAACAUACAAUUGGAUUUUUUUUUCUUCGUACUAAAGCAACUCGGGGAUCUCACGUCAUCCGUAGAAGAAGGCACCGUUACGUUUGAAUAAUCUCUGAGCUGCAGGCGUGAGAGUCUGCAUCUGAUCUGCCAUGCAUUUCAGAGAGAUGGAUGGAAAUAAACAGGCUUGAAAUAAACUGAUCUGUCAGACAGUGAUCCAUGCAUACAGUAAAUGAAAUGUCUUAAGAGCUGGGAGGUUGUGAUAAAGACUCUUAACACACACUGUAUUAUACUCAUUCACAGUCACAGGCUUAUACCAAUAUACAGUCUAUCAGGGGCUCUGUGUGUGUCGAUACAAAUCUUCUGAAUAAUGGCUCUGCCGAGGCCCAAUGUAGAUUCAGUGUAUAUCAGUAGGGUGGCUUUAGAUGCAGUGAAGUAUUUAUAGUCACAGCACACUCAAGUGUGUCUUUGCCUGGUUGACUUCCUCCAUGGAGGGCCACGGUCAAAGCUCAAGGAUAAAUGGUAACAGAUCGUAACCCUUUGUCUCUCUGUGCACGUUUUAAUCUGCAGUAGUGUUUAUUUUGCACAUAGCUCACGUUACUGUUGAUUAGAUUUUGAUAUGUUUUAUAUAUCCAACCAUUCAUUUUCUACAGCUUUUGCAGGUGGCAGUGGCCACAGUAUUCCUACUAUCCCUUUUGUUUUUCCUCCAUAAAGCCAUGGCCUCCAGCUUUUCCUGAGAUAUCCCAAUUUGUUCCCAGGUCUGGGAGAUGUCUCACCACAUCAAGGUGUCCUGGAGGCUCUUUGAUUAUAUGAACUCCGUCUGGAUGUAUAACCUCCUCACCCAGUUGCUGGAUGUGAGCCCAGGAAUCAGGUGAGGAAAAAACUAUUUCUAACCACUGAUAUCUAAUUUCGUUUAAGAGUCUUGCUCACAAGUGCAAACGUGAUACUUUAACAACUCACUCGCACCUCCCAGGAUUGAAAGAUGCUGCCCCUCGCCUGCUUGGUGUAAACACGGAGGUCAGAGUUUGAAACUAACAGAGCUAAAAGAGACAUGCCGUCCUAUUCGGUGUGAAGUCAAACUGUCCAACUGAAGUCACUCUGAAAGGGGAUGCAGCAAAGAGCUCUGGUCAUCUAGCAGAAAUGUUGGAGCUGUGGAAAUUUUCUGGUAGGAAUAAUUUCCUUUGGGAGACCCUGAGCUAUUGCCCCUGGCAACACAGCAGCAGUGUUCAUGCCAAUCUGUUCACCAAAAUAAAGGUAGUGAUUCAUUGAAUAGAUUGUUUUUAAAUGCAUGAACUUCAUGGAAAAAGCACAGAGGAGAGUCUGCACACAUGCACGAUGCAGAGUGAUACAAUUUUCUGCAAACCCAUGAAAUGAAUUCACGAUUAUUUCAAAGAUGAAGCUUCACGCAUGUCUUAGCUCUCCAUCUUUACAUCCAUCUUGAGCCAAAUGAUU